UGGGAUANUAUCUCACAUCGCUUCACGGCGUCAUGGAUGCGAAGGUUGGCGUGCCUCUGGUCGUCUUCCUUCGAAUUAUCCUGGGUCUACGUAUCUUANCACACCCCAACGAAUGUUUAAAAGAAUGUUGAUUUCAAAGGGCUACGGCCCAUAUAGAAACUCAAUACAACUUUCAGCANCGGAUCUCUUGGCUCUCGCAUCNAUGAANAACGCAGCGAAAUGCGAUAAGUAAUGUGAAUUGCAGAAUUCAGUGAAUCAUCNAAUCUUUGAACGCACCUUGCGCUCCUUGGUAUUCCGAGGAGCAUGCCUGUUUGAGUGUCAUUAAAUUCUCAACCUCACCCAGUUUGUCAAAACCAGGUGAAGGCUUGGACUUGGAGGUUUUGCANGCUGCGGGUCAUUCCGCGGUUAGCUCCUCUGAAAUGAAUUAGCGGGUCUUUCCCCUCUAUCCCAACGGUGUGAUAACCUAUCUACGCCGCCGGUUUGGAGACUUUAUGGGACCAGCUUCCAACCGUCCGCAAGGACAACAUUGACCAAUCUUGACCUCAAAUCAGGUAGGACUACCCGCUGAACUUAAGCAUAUCAAUAAGCGGAGGAA
rnacentral:rRNA from 1 species